GACUCGGUGGUGUAGUGGUAGUAGCACAAAUCCCCGGUGUGGAUGAAACGCGGGUUUGAUUCCCUCCUGAGGCC